rnacentral:rRNA from 1 species
UGGGGAAUAUUGCACAAUGGGCGCAAGCCUGAUGCAGCCAUGCCGCGUGUGUGAAGAAGGCCUUCGGGUUGUAAAGCACUUUCAGCGAGGAGGAAGGGUAGUGUGUUAAUAGCACAUUGCAUUGACGUUACUCGCAGAAGAAGCACCGGCUAACUCCGUGCCAGCAGCCGCGGUAAUACGGAGGGUGCAAGCGUUAAUCGGAAUUACUGGGCGUAAAGCGCACGCAGGCGGUUUGUUAAGUCAGAUGUGAAAUCCCCGCGCUUAACGUGGAACUGCAUUUGAAACUGGCAAGCUAGAGUCUUGUAGAGGGGGGUAGAAUUCCAGGUGUAGCGGUGAAAUGCGUAGAGAUCUGGAGGAAUACCGGUGGCGAAGGCGGCCCCCUGGACAAAGACUGACGCUCAGGUGCGAAAGCGUGGGGAGCAAACAGGAUUAGAUACCCU